rnacentral:rRNA from 1 species
AUUGAACGCUGGCGGCAGGCCUAACACAUGCAAGUCGAGCGGAGCGGCGGACGGGUGAGUAAUGCCUAGGAAUCUGCCUGGUAGUGGGGGAUAACGUCCGGAAACGGGCGCUAAUACCGCAUACUAUCAGAUGAGCCUAGGUCGGAUUAGCUAGUUGGUGGGGUAAAGGCAUACCAAGGCGACGAUCCGUACCUGGUCUGAGAGGGUGGUCGGUCACACUGGGACUGAGAUACGGCCCAGACUCCUACGGGAGGCAGCAGUGGGGGAUAUUGCACAAUGGACGAAAGGCGGAUGCAGCGACGUCGUGUGGGGGAUGAAGGCCUUCGGGUUGUAAACUCCUUUCGCCCGCGGAUGGUAGUGGGUAAAGAAGCGCCGGCUAACUACGUGCCAGCAGCCGCGGUAAUAC